rnacentral:lncRNA from 1 species
UUAGCCAUUUUUGUGGCCCAAAAUAAAGAGAUAAAGAGAGGUGGUGGAGACUCUUUAAGACAAAGACUUGGUUGAUGUUCUCUUAUCAUUUUUACAUACAUAAAUUCUAUGAGCUCUCUCAAGUUUAUAUCUUCAUCUCUCAACUUCAAGCAUCUGCCUCAAAUUAUAUCUAGGAUUCUUGAAGAAAUCCUCCUCUUUCAAAGCUAACUUUGAAGGUUAAUUCAAGCCCUUGAAGGACUGCAAGUCAAGGUCUAAAUUUGCAGAAAUUUAGGUAAUCUUACUUCCCCAUUUUAUCUCAAUAUAUAUAUUAGAUUGGGUGAGAUUUAUCUAGGUUAUUUUCAUGAAAUUAUGGGACUAUGACCGAAAUUGAUGAGUCCAAGCUUUAGUGAUUAUGAUAAAACGUGUGGAGCUGCCUAAUAUGGUGAAUCUUGGAGCAGUAUUGGGUGGAUAGUUGGAUUCAUUUGGUGGUGAAGGACGCUGUUUUAUACCUAUGUAUGCUAGUUAAAGUGUUGUUUGUGUGUAUGAGAUAGUUGGGUGUUGAAACACCAGUUUUGAAAAUUGUGGAGCUUUAUGCCCGCUAGGUGUUCGACAUAAUAUCCUACUGGUCUAUUUCUUGACCUAUUGACUCUAUUGACUCUAUUGUAAUGUAAUCGAUCUGUAUAUUUAUAUUAUAAUUUAUAGUGUUGGAUGGUCUUAUUAGAAAGUCGUGUGAAGUGUUUUCAGGGAAGAAAUGAAGGGUCUAGUGAUGUACCAUUUAAAUUGAGGGUUGUGCAGGCUUGCUACCCAUUAUGUGUCUAUUUAUUUGUCUGGGUGUUUUGAAGCUCGGGCAGUGCCAGGAGAUUUCAUGAGAAAGUCGUAAGUUGUGUAAACAUGUGAGAAGGGAAUGUGUGAAAGGAACACCCAAUAGUAGAUGGGUUACAAGUAUGCUGCCUGCCUAUUGUCUUGGUAAGUUGAAGUGAUCCAAGCUUGUUGAUUAGCUGCUAAUAUAACUCUAUUACUUGCCACUAUUGUAGAUUAACACUUUAAAGGAAAGUCUGAAUCAUGGUAAUACAUAGUACUGUCCGGGAGACAAGGUAAGUAAGGCUAUUCAAUUUAAUAUUCUUUGGCAUGAAUUCCUAUAUUUCUGGUACCAACAAAGCAAGCUUUCUAAAUAAUCCUUGUUGUUAAAGAUAUGUUGUGAUGGUGUAUAAUCUCUAAUUUAUUUAAUAUCCUUCUACUGCCACGGUUUCACAAAUGUGUCAAACAACUCCAAUAGGUGUUCAUUAUCCUAUAUCGAUGUUGUAAUACUUUCAAGUACGAGUAUGAUAAAAGUACUCUAAAAAGUAAGUUUCAUGAGUUAUCCUCUAAAUCAAAUGAGGAGUCCUUGAGUCAAUAAGAUCCUACAUUACACAUGUUAUGAGUUUUCAUAGGCCAGAUAUAUUCUGUCCAAUUUAUAAGUCCUUACAUGGAAUACUUAUCUCUUAUUUCGGAUUUGUCCAUGUGCAUCAUUAGUUCACAUAUUUAUACACCCUUUCAUUUGGCAUAAACUACUAAGUGUUAAGCUAUCGUAACAUCUUAUACAGUCAUUACCUCUUCAUAAGAGGAGUUGCACGCUUCCAUUUGAAAUGCAUGUAUGCCCCCAUUUGAAAAGUUGAAACGUGUUUUAAAUGAACCAUGCAGCAUGUCCUAAUGUCCCGACUUUCCGAAAACUUUCAUAGAUUGUUUGUAUAUAUUCUUUGUACCUAAUGAAUCUCAUUGAGUCAUAAGUUCCUAAGUAUUACAUCGGAAUUACAUUUUGCUUCCAAUAUCAUUUUUGCUACCUCAAGUAUUUUAUUCACAUGUCUACACCACUGAUAUAUAUAGUCCUAAAGCUCAAAAGAAUUAUGACCACCGAAAGAACAAUCUCAAAGAUCAAAUAUACAAGGUAAAGAUCUCAAUCUAUAUAAUUAUGGGUGGCAGCUCAGGGGAUGAAAUACCUAGCAUGGGCCGAACUCAAUCUAUAUAAUUAUGGGUGGCAGCUCAGGGGUUGAAAUACCUAGCAUGGGCCGAUCUCAAUCUAUAUAAUUAUGAGUGGCAACCCAGGGGCAAAAGCCUAGCAUGGGUCGAUCCCGAUUUGUAUAUUUAUGAGGAUAGCAUUCCAGGGGUUAAAUGCCUAGCAUGGGUCAUUCUCUUCUACCACUGACCAGUUGCUCACUUCUAUUACAUGCCUUACAUAGAUUAUGAAGCAGCGAAGAUUAUGAAAAGAAUGUUAUGUAUAGUGAUCCAAGUAUAGUAAUAUAUCACGUGCCCAAGUGCUAAUAGUCAUAUCCACAAAAAAUUGAUUAACGUGUUGAGAAGGGUAAAACAUGGCAUUGUGAUCCUAUAGGUUGUUCCUAGUUUCCAGAUGCCCCAAUUGUUCAUGUGUUUAUAUGUUCUAAUAGUUCACUUGUUCACAUGUUAUCCAUUCUAAUAGUUCACGUGUCAUGUGUUCACUUAUUUUCUUUGACGUGCCAUCUGUUCUCAUAAUUCACCUUUUCAUAUGUGACCUAUUCUCAUAUUUAUCUGUUCGAGUGUCGCAUAAUCUCACAACUCACAUGUCAUUGCCUUCUUGUUAAUGUGUUAAUGCCCUUGAUGGCUCAAUUGUUUUUUUAUUACAUUCUUACAGAUCACUCGCUUACGUGCGUGUCUGCUAGUCCAUUUGCUUAUAUAACUACAUGUGUCCAGUUCACCUGCUUAUAUGGUUGUCUUAUAAUCCAUUUGCUUAUGUGACUACAUGUCUUAUAAAUCAGUUUAUCAAAUGCUACAUGUCUUCACAACUCACUUAUUCACGCGUCACAUGUUCCCAUAACUUACUUGUCCUUAUGUUAAAUCCCAUUUUGUUCUCCUCCACUUGUAGGUUAUAAACUCCAUGUGGCUUAUCAGUUCUUCUGCUAUUAUCCCCUCAUUGCUUACUUGCUUAAGUGAUACAUAUGUUAUAAUAAAGUAUCAUGAUGAAAUAGAGAAAAAAAAGGGAAUUUAAUUAUGUCUCAUUUUAUACCGAUUCAUACUGCUUUGAUAUAUGUAUAUGUGUCAUCCACUUGGGCAAGAAGAGGUACGUCAACUUAAAUGAUCAUAAGUUUUUGCAAUAAGAUCUAUUGAAUGUUUGCAGUUUCCAACUGUUGCUACUCUAAUAUGUCGUGUUCUCUUAUAUGAUUUUCAGUAACUAUAGUGUUUUCAAUUUGCCUUUCAUACGAGUAAAAUUUCUAUAUCUAGUCACGUCCUUUUAUAUUAUGUCAGGGGUGCUGCACUCAAACUGCAGGUACACACGUUUUAGAUGGGAAGUUUCUUGGCGGGAACCCCUUGUAGAUUUUCAUCUAUAGUCAGUGAUACCCAAUUCCACUAAGGGCCUUACAUUUUUCAUAUGAUUUACAUAGAUGGCUUAAGGUACGACGGGGCCUUGUCUCGACAUAUUUAUGGAUCAUGUCAUAUGUUAGAGGUUUCGUAGACUAUGUCCAAAUCAGGUUCUUAUAGUUAGAGUAUGUCUUCCAUACUGCCCUAUGGGUCCACUAAGAUAGCAUAUGCACUGAUGACUUUUAUAUGUAUAAAAUAAUAGCUUCUUAUUCUAGUUGAUGAUCAAUGCAUCACUUAAUAUAUUUUGCUGUUGUCCCUUGUAGGUAUGUUCAGUUAAGUGGUCCGCUCGGUCAUGUGAGGUAUCAAGUUAAGGCACCGAGUGCC